rnacentral:sRNA from 1 species
GACCCUUUCCUGUCCCGGCCUGCGUGGCGUGGGCUUGUGGGUCUUUGAGACCCGAAAAUUGAGAGCGUUUUCGCACUCCAGGGGCUGCUCCUGGCGGCUCUGCGGCCGUCACCAUGCCACAGAAUGAAUAUAUUGAAUUACACCGUAAACGCUAUGGAUACCGUUUGGAUUACCAUGAGAAAAAGAGAAAGAAGGAAAGUCGAGAGGCUCAUGAACGUUCAAAGAAGGCAAAGAAAAUGAUUGGUCUGAAGGCUAAGCUUUACCAUAAACAGCGUCAUGCUGAGAAAAUACAAAUGAAAAAGACUAUCAAGAUGCAUGAAAAGAGAAACACCAAACAAAAGAAUGAUGAAAAGACACCACAGGGAGCAGUACCUGCCUAUCUGCUGGACAGAGAGGGACAAUCUCGAGCUAAAGUACUUUCCAAUAUGAUUAAACAGAAAAGAAAAGAGAAGGCGGUAAGCAAUAACAAUUCAAGUCUUUGUUUUGUUUAGGAGAAUUACUUAAAUUCAAAUUUGAGGUUCUUGUUUCUCGGUUUAAUUUCAAACAUGAAGUACAGCUGUUAUUCCCAUUAUUUAGAUGUUGAAGUCUUUGUAAAUUUAAUUAAAAACUUGCUUUCUCAUCAUAAGGUUUUAAAAUUUAAGUUUU